GCCAUCCAGAGGGGAAUACACAGAAAAAGGUUCAGGAGACUGUGUGUCUCUCUAGCAUCUCUCCCCUGUGGUGUUGGAAUGGCACUGCGAGGAUGUGAGGAUGUGCUCCCGGCCCGCCUGGCAGGGCAUCACCUCAAAGAGCUCAGGCUCCCAAGGACAGAGCCAGCGCGAGGCGGAGGCACAGGGUCUGCUUCCGUUUUGUGGAUGCACAGAAGCCUUUGUUAAAAGAUGAGUAUCAUUUCAAAUAUUCCGAGAAUGUGGCUGCUAGGCUGUUUAGUUCCAUGUCCCAACAUUUUUUCCUAAAAAGGGGUGGAGGCGGUGUAUUGCUCCAGAGCUGUGUGUAAAGUGUUCUUUUAACACCGGGGGCUAUACUUCCUGCUUCUGGCUGCCCUGGGAGCCAGCACGGAAGGGAGAAAACCCCUAAUCCGUCCCCAUGCCACAAGUUCCCGAGAGGCCCCGGACGCCGGGUAACACGCAGGAGUUCUACAGGGCUUUGGGGGAGUAUCUGAGAGGUUAAGUCGCUGCUCUAAAUGUCUUUUCUCAUUUCUGCCAUUUCCCGAAGGAGUUAUUCCACUUUGUGUAAAAAAGAGUAAUUACUGAAUAUCAUCAGGACUGGAUACAAUCGGUGCUCCGUUCAAUUCAACUGUCCUCUUGGAGCGCCCCCUUCAGGCCGGGCGAGAUGUCAGUGGAAGGUGGGAACGGGAAAGAGACGCAAAGAUAAGAAAGCCAAGGUUCAGAUAAUUCAGUAAUUUUUCCAAGGUCACACAUUAAGACAGAAAUCCAGGAUUCAGGUCCAGUGUGAAGAAAACCAUCAUUGGGACUUUCCACUAUAUCGCUCUACCUAACUGUACUCAGCCUGGGCACCGAAGAAAAAAGUCUUUAGCAUAUGUUUAGUGCCCUGACAUCUUCAGCUCCAGGCAAUAGUGUGCUGGUAAAUAUGGGGGAAAACAUAUGCAUAAUAUACCUACAGAAGUUUAUUAUAAAUUUUACUGAUAUAAAGAAUGGGUAGCAUCCUUUACAAUUUAUAAAUAAUAAUAAAAAUUUCAAUACUCUUGACUAUAAGUUUCAUAUUGUCAAUUGAUUCUCACAGAAUGCUUCUGUUGAUUUUUGCAGAGCUUGUGCAUUUGAGGCCAACCUAAUAGUCGCAAUUGACAAAUCACUGUAGUUCCAACAUGGCUGCUGGGUGAUAUUUUGUUUACACUAAUGAGUAAGACAAAUGAAAUAAUGAAGACAUAUAUUGGAACUUUACUUGUUUGGCAAUGAUGUGAGGGACUUCUUUGCUGAAGUGCAUAGUAGUUUUUGAAUACUGGAAGAAUAUUUCCUCAUUUUUCCCUCAACGUAAUGGCUACACACAUGACACAUUUUUAAGUUUAAUCUGCGUGACUAAAAAUUUCUCCAUCACUUUCUAAUGUCUAGACAAUCAAUUAAAUGAUAAAUCAAGUCUGGUUUUGUAGAUUUGCUGAUUUCUGUGGUGCAAACAUUCUCACCAUAGGCAAUUUCAAGUUACCAAAGUGACAUCUGAAUAUGGCAUUGGGAAGGGAUGUGCAUGGGCACGCUGUUACAUAACAUCACCAUACACACAUAAACAGAUGUAAAUAACUGUAAGAGCACAGCUAAUGGUAAAAUGUAGUAAUAUAAUUAGGAAGGGAUGAGUUUUAGAUAAUUAUUACCUUUGUUUUUAAUGAAAUUUAUUUAAUCAUAAGUUUAUGUAAUCUGAUUUUUAAUAAUGGAUGUGUUUAACAACCAGCUGUCAAAAUUCCCCAAAAUGUAACAAUUGACCCUGGUAAACUAGUAGAAGCUGGCUCCAGCAAACCGCUGCCCUACACAGGGGACUUCAUGGUUUUACAAGACUUGGUUCCUGAAUUUCAGCAGAAGUUGGCUUUUCAUAGAAAGUUACCUUAAGUCACUCUCUACCUUCUUUAUUAGUACCAAGGAUAACUUUAGUUUUAAAACUUGGCUCAUGUAACUCUUGCUUUCUCAUGGGCAAACAAUAUUUGGGCAUUAGCCUUCAAUGAGCUUAUGAAAAACACUGAUGGUAUAAGUUAUCAUGAAUACUUAAAAGGAAGGAUUGCAAAUUGGAUUUGCUAACUAGGAGCCUAAAUUCAAUGAAGUUCUCAAACAUGUAAGAGAAGAUGACUGAUUGGAAGCUUAAAGUCUGAAUGUCCUACGUGUAAAGAGGAAAUGAGAAUUCAUGGUUUGCAUUCUUAAACGUGGCUCCAAUUUAAAUGAUUGUUUCUCCUUUUACAUCCCUUUCAUUUCCA